CAAGGAACAAUCCACAGUAUACAAUUCAAAAUAAAAGUCGACGUUUGCUUUCCCCCCAUUUUUAUUGCUUCUCCCACCAAACUCUUUUAUUUUUAUUUUUUCCUCUAAAUAAAAAUAAUACAACAACAACCAUAAAAAAAAAUUAUAAUAAAAAAGUUGAGAAAAAAAAAGAAAAAAAAAAAGAAACUCCCACCAGUAUA
rnacentral:misc_RNA from 1 species